rnacentral:lncRNA from 1 species
CGCGGCGCCGCGCGCGGGCUGUGGGGGCUGGUCAGUGGAGUCGGAGGCCGCAGCAUCCCACUGACACCCUGCAGAUUCCUUUGCUGCCUGGGAUUCCUCAUCCCUUACUGACUUGACACUUCCCUUGCUGUUUCUGGGAUCACAGUUCGGCAUCCUUUUGCAUUUGAGGUUUUUUCCAUGUUCUGUGCUGGAACUGCUGUAAGAACAGCUGCAAGAAUACAGCCUACUGCUUCCGUCAGCGAGAGGAGGGGCAGCUCAUCAGGAGGCAAACACCACACCAAUCAAGUUAGGAAAUCUUUUCUUAGGAGAGCCAUGCCUCUGUUGCACACUUGGCCCACUAGUACUGCUGAGGGUGAUGCCACAGGAGAGGAAAUCAUAGCCUGGCCACUGCCCAACGCGGCCAGUGUGGGCUCUCAUGCAGUUCCACCUGCACAGCUGCAGAGGUGUGAGCUCAGCACUUCCCCAGGGCUGCUCUCAAGGCAUCCCAGGGCUUUGUGCCUCAGCCUGCUUACACGUUCAGGCUUUCUUCCUACAGGAGCCACAGGCCUGUGGGGAAGGGGUGCUUCUGAGACUCUCUGGUGCCAGUUUUGAUUCCUCUGUGCCGUGGCUGGUUUGUAAUCGUCACUGCCUGGGCAAAAGUGAACACUGCUGCCCUUGGCAGAGAUGGGAAUUGGCAGAUUGGAAAUCUCUUAUUUGCCAGAGUUGUUCCUUCAUAUCUCAUGUUUUCCAGAGCAGCAAAUACAGAUGCAAAUCUCCACGUGGCAAGCAGUGCUGCAUCCUUGUCUUAUUGUCACAGACCCAUCCAUUUUUAUCCCAUGCAUGUGAACCUUCCCCAUCGCAGACUUUUGCAGUGAAGCCACAAGCUUGCACCUUUCCUGUAUCUUUCUCCUGUAUCUCGGCAAGUCAGAGACAAAAUUGGCUGUUCCUUUGAUUUGCUGAUCAGCAGCAUCUGAUGUGUCAGGCAAUAGUUCGAACUGCUCAGCAGGGAUCCUCAUAUCCUGCAUUUCAAGGCUCCACGUCCUGCAGUGCCAGACCUCCCUGCCUAUCUCAGCACAACUCUGAAACACUGUUAGUAUAGAAGUGAACCUUGACUUGGGCAGUUUCUUUUCUGAUAUUUGCCCUCUUGUUAAGACAAGCAUGUAUGCUACCAGAAGCAGUUAUGAAAAAAGGAAUACAGCAGAUGGGAAAAAGGGCAACAGGAAUUCAAAGAGGAAGUGGUCAGUAUUUGCUCAUAACUUUUGCGUAACAGCUCUUCUCUUGGUUCCGUGAGUAGGGAAAACCUAUUACAGCAGCAAGGAAAGGGAAACAUUUCUUUCUGUUUCUGAGCAUGAGAACCAGACUCCUCACCGCUGAAAGCUGCCCAGCACGUUUAAUUCAGCGGUGUGCUCAGGCUGCAAUGGUUCAUUGCACCACGAGUAAAAUGCUGUGCAUGUAAUUACACAUUGCAAUCUGCUGAAGGGCCCUGUGUUAGCCAAGUCCCAUUUAGCUCCCACUUUCUACAAGACUUUGUUUUCUUUGCAAAAGGGUAAAUUCCACUGGUAUUUCAUUUCCUAUUUUAAUUUUUAUUUUUGCAAAUUAGAAGUUUGGUGUUUGGAGGAUGUGAGUGGCUUCUGAAGAAUAUUUUGAUGAUGAGCAUGACCGCCAGGUGGGUAGAAGGGAGACGCCCUCCAGUGCCAGUGGUGGUGCCAUGCUCUGUGCCACACCAAGGAAGGGAUCAGAGGGCUGAGACCCACCAUAAACUGCCUCCAGCACAGUGACAGAACUGCCUGCCGCUGCCGGCUGGUUUUGAAGGCUCUUGCAGCUCUGAGUGUAGCCAUGCUGGAGCCAUUUGUUAUGGAGCUACGGCCUGUUCAGGAGAAAUGAGCUUAUGCAAAUGUCAGCUAAUGAUAAAUAAGUGUCUUUAAUUUAUUUAUUAACUUUGGAAUUAGUGGAAAAGAGCUUCAAGGGAUAUUGGCAACUACCAAAUUUCAAAACUGUUUAUUAGUGUUUUACCUGUACAGUUGAAAGCACUGUCUUUGAAGAAGCAACAGUUGAAAGGAAGGAUAAUUUGGCUUUUUUCUUUUUACAGUCUCUUCUCUGCAAAUAUAAUCUUCCCACUUGCUUAUUUUCUACUUCAUCUUUCCUUUUUUCUUUUCUACUGCUGUGGGAUAAAACUAUGAUUGCAAGUACAGAACACAUCUAGGGGGACCUGAGAACAUAGAGACCACCGAAACAAUUUCAUAUUGCAAGCUCAAGUCCUCCUUUAGCUCUCACUUACAAAUGUUUUACAGCUACAAACCUGCUAGUCUCCAUACUGUAAUAAUCAUUCAACUUCAUGAAUAAUUUUGCCUAUCAACCACAAGAUAAAAUCUAGCAAUAUGUUACUUCUUUGUGUGAGAUGUGGUAAUCUUUCCUAUAGAUCUGGAAAGGGGGAGAAACUUCACAAAUUCUGAUCUGAAAAUUGCUUUUCCUUCCUCUCUGUAAAGAUCAAGGACACAAAGGCUGCAGUCCAACCUCCAGCACUGAGAGGGCCUAGUUUUUCCCAAGCUUUUGAUGCUGGGAAACCCUUACAGAGACGGAGCCUCUGCCUUUGCAAUCACUUUCCACUCCCAUGACGUUCUUUCAGGUUCAUCCUUUCAGUGAAAAAAGCCUUUCUGGGCCCUUGGUCCUAGAGAAUGUCUGAAGGUGAGUGAACCUUUAUGUCUCAUUUAGAGACCUUUCUACAUCUGGUGGUGGGAAAUGUGGAAAGAGCUGCUACCUUCACCGCUGUCAUCAAAAGACAGUCACACCAGACUGGGCAUCUAACACUGACCUUUGGCAUGUGGUAGAGGACAAG